CGUGUAGGCGGUCGGUCAAGUCCGGUGUGAAAGCCCGGGGCUCAGCUCCGGAAGUGCAUCGGAAACUAGCCGACUUGAGCGCGAUAGAGGAGGGUGGAAUUCCUGGUGUAGCGGUGAAAUGCGUAGAUAUCAGGAGGAACACCGGCGGCGAAGGCGGCCCUCUGGGUCGUUGCUGACGCUGAGACGCGAAAGCGUGGGGAGCAAACAGGAUUAGAUACCCUGGUAGUCCACGCUGUAAACUAUGGGUACUAGGUGUUCGGGGUGUUGACCCCCUGAGUGCCGACGCUAACGCAUUAAGUACCCCGCCUGGGGACUACGGCCGCAAGGCUAAA
rnacentral:rRNA from 1 species